rnacentral:rRNA from 3 species
UCGCUGUGAAGAUGCAGUGUACCCGCGGCAAGACGGAAAGACCCCGUGAACCUUUACUAUAGCUUGACACUGAACAUUGAGCCUUGAUGUGUAGGAUAGGUGGGAGGCUUUGAAGUGUGGACGCCAGUCUGCAUGGAGCCGACCUUGAAAUACCACCCUUUAAUGUUUGAUGUUCUAACGUGGACCCGUAAUCCGGGUUGCGGACAGUGUCUGGUGGGUAGUUUGACUGGGGCGGUCUCCUCCUAAAGAGUAACGGAGGAGCACGAAGGUUGGCUAAUCCUGGUCGGACAUCAGGAGGUUAGUGCAAUGGCAUAAGCCAGCUUGACUGCGAGCGUGACGGCGCGAGCAGGUGCGAAAGCAGGUCAUAGUGAUCCGGUGGUUCUGAAUGGAAGGGCCAUCGCUCAACGGAUAAAAGGUACUCCGGGGAUAACAGGCUGAUACCGCCCAAGAGUUCAUAUCGACGGCGGUGUUUGGCACCUCGAUGUCGGCUCAUCACAUCCUGGGGCUGAAGUAGGUCCCAAGGGUAUGGCUGUUCGCCAUUUAAAGUGGUACGCGAGCUGGGUUUAGAACGUCGUGAGACAGUUCGGUCCCUAUCUGCCGUGGGCGCUGGAGAACUGAGGGGGGCUGCUCCUAGUACGAGAGGACCGGAGUGGACGCAUCACUGGUGUUCGGGUUGUCAUGCCAAUGGCACUGCCCGGUAGCUAAAUGCGGAAGAGAUAAGUGCUGAAAGCAUCUAAGCACGAAACUUGCCCCGA